rnacentral:rRNA from 1 species
UACGAAGGGUGCAAGCGUUACUCGGAAUUACUGGGCGUAAAGCGUGCGUAGGUGGUUCGUUAAGUCUGAUGUGAAAGCCCUGGGCUCAACCUGGGAAUGGCAUUGGAAACUGGCGAUCUAGAGUGCGGUAGAGGGUAGUGGAAUUCCCGGUGUAGCAGUGAAAUGCGUAGAGAUCGGGAGGAACAUCUGUGGCGAAGGCGACUGCCUGGACCAGCACUGACACUGAGGCACGAAAGCGUGGGGAGCAAACAGGAUUAGAUACCCUGGUAGUCCACGCCCUAAACGAUGCGAACUGGAUGUUGGGUGCAACUAGGCACUCAGUAUCGAAGCUAACGCGUUAAGUUCGCCGCCUGGGGAGUACGGUCGCAAGACUGAA